ACAUUGAAACACCGGUUCCCCAUACGAUCAUCAAAGUUAAGCAAUGUCAAGUUUGGUUAGUACCUAGAUGAGUGACCACUUGGGAAUAGCAUGGGGCUGUAAG